CCACAAACCCUUAUUUCUAUUGUCUUUGUAUUUCAUGUUAUGUUUUCUUUUCUCUUUCCCUCUUCUCGUCCACUCCAAAACAAUGACAAGAGAAAGAAAAAGGGGGACAGGAGAGAAGGACUGCUGUAGCGUUGAAAAGAAAGAAAGGAU
rnacentral:ribozyme from 13 species